AGUGAACGCUGGCGGUAGGCCUAACACAUGCAAGUCGAACGGCAGCACAGUAAGAGCUUGCUCUUACGGGUGGCGAGUGGCGGACGGGUGAGGAAUACAUCGGAAUCUACUUUUUCGUGGGGGAUAACGUAGGGAAACUUACGCUAAUACCGCAUACGACCUACGGGUGAAAGCAGGGGAUCUUCGGACCUUUCGCGAUUGAAUGAGCCGAUGUCGGAUUAGCUAGUUGGCGGGGUAAAGGCCCACCAAGGCGACGAUCCGUAGCUGGUCUGAGAGGAUGAUCCGCCACACUGGAACUGAGACACGGUCCAGACCCCUACGGGAGGCAGCAGUGGGGAAUAUUGGACAAUGGGCGCAAGCCUGAUCCAGCCAUACCGCGUGGGUGAAGAAGGCCUUCGGGUUGUAAAGCCCUUUUGUUGGGAAAGAAAAGCAGCAGGUUAAUACCCCGCUGUUCUGACGGUACCCAAAGAAUAAGCACCGGCUAACUUCGUG
rnacentral:rRNA from 1 species